rnacentral:rRNA from 1 species
GAUGAACGCUGGCGGCGUGCCUAAUACAUGCAAGUCGAGCGAACAGACGAGGAGCUUGCUCCUCUGACGUUAGCGGCGGACGGGUGAGUAACACGUGGAUAACCUACCUAUAAGACUGGGAUAACUUCGGGAAACCGGAGCUAAUACCGGAUAAUAUAUUGAACCGCAUGGUUCAAUAGUGAAAGACGGUUUUGCUGUCACUUAUAGAUGGAUCCGCGCCGCAUUAGCUAGUUGGUAAGGUAACGGCUUACCAAGGCGACGAUGCGUAGCCGACCUGAGAGGGUGAUCGGCCACACUGGAACUGAGACACGGUACAGACUCCUACGGGAGGCAGCAGUAGGGAAUCUUCCGCAAUGGGCGAAAGCCUGACGGAGCAACGCCGCGUGAGUGAUGAAGGUCUUCGGAUCGUAAAACUCUGUUAUUAGGGAAGAACAAAUGUGUAAGUAACUAUGCACGUCUUGACGGUACCUAAUCAGAAAGCCACGGCUAACUACGU